rfam:Nipponia nippon contig16509, whole genome shotgun sequence.
AAACAGGCUUUUUUAAAAGCUAUGUAGCCUUAAAAAGAAGACAGAAU